GUGGGGAAUUUUGGACAAUGGGCGCAAGCCUGAUCCAGCAAUGCCGCGUGCAGGAAGAAGGCCUUCGGGUUGUAAACUGCUUUUGUACGGAACGAAACGGUCCGGGUUAAUACCCUGGGCUAAUGACGGUACCGUAAGAAUAAGCACCGGCUAACUACGUGCCAGCAGCCGCGGUAAUACGUAGGGUGCAAGCGUUAAUCGGAAUUACUGGGCGUAAAGCGUGCGCAAGCGGUUUUGUAAGACAGGCGUGAAAUCCCCGGGCUCAACCUGGGAAUUGCGCUUGUGACUGCAAGGCUGGAGUGCGGCAGAGGGGGAUGGAAUUCCGCGUGUAGCAGUGAAAUGCGUAGAUAUGCGGAGGAACACCGAUGGCGAAGGCAAUCCCCUGGGCCUGCACUGACGCUCAUGCACGAAAGCGUGGGGAGCAAACAGGAUUAGAAACCCUUGUAGUCC
rnacentral:rRNA from 1 species